AUUAAUUUAGGAGGGUGAAUCCGCUGAAUUUUAAAAAUUGCUAAAAUAUAACUAAGCGGAAGAAAAGAAAAUAACUAUGAUUCCUUUAGUAACAGCGCGUGAAAAAGGAUAAGCUCAAUUUAGAGAAUCCUACGAUUUUUUUUUUAAAAGAAUUUUAGGAAUUGUUUCUUUUUUUAUAUAAUAUAUAUACUCUAUAUGAUAACUGUUCUUUGGAUUAUAUAUUACGUAAUGUGUAUAUACAUCUAUUUUACGGGUACACAAGAGCAAAGAUAUUAAAAAACAAAUAGGAAAUAUAAUGGAAGAUUAUCCCAGAGAGGGUGAAAGGCCCGUACUUGUUUUAAUAUCUACCUUGUGCUUAAAUUAGAGUUAAAAAUAAAGAAUGAGUUGUGUUUGAUGAAUAUGGGACACUAAUACGUGUGAUAAAAUUUCACAUAAAGCUAAAUAUGUGUAGGAGACCGAUAGCAAACAAGUACCGUAAGGGAAUGAUGAAAUAGUACUCAGGAAUGAGCCAUUAAAUAGUACCUGAAAUCGUUAAGGUGGAAAGGAUUAAGAGCGUGAAGACGUAAGGGUUUUAUUAAAAAGUAUGUACAUGUGUAUAUAUAUAUAUAUGUAUGUAUAAGAGAGAAUUUCAUUUUCUCUUUGGUAAUUUCCUUAUUAUAAUAAACAAAAGUGAAUGAGAGAAAUUUUGAAGAUUGAAGUAAUUUUUUAAAAAAAUUAAAGAAUUAAUUAUAUAUAUAGUAAUAAAUUUUUAUUUAUUUUUAUUUAUUUUUAUGUAAUUUAUUAUUUUUUUUUUUUAAAGAAUGUGAAUGAAUGAAUGGAAAACACUUCUUUCUGAUUAAAAAACAUUUCUAUUUACUUAGGAAUAUAAAAUAUAUAUGUAAAAAUAGAAAGUAUUUAUAUUUUUUGUUUUUAUGUUAUGUAUAAGUUGUUUAUAAAAAAUACUCUCUUAAACCGACCGUCUUGAAACACGGACCAAGGAGUCUAUCAAAUAUGCAAGUGUAUAUGUUUAGAGGAAACAUGUAAAUUUUUUGUAUACACGCAUAGAUGUUCCAAAUGUGUGAUAUGUGUAGGAAGUGUGGCCACGCAUAUAUAUGUAUAUAUGUAUGUAUGUAUAUAUGUAUGUAUGUAUAUAUGUAUGUAUGUAUAUAUGUAUGUAUGUAUAUAUGUAUGUAUGUAUAUAUGUAUGUAUGUAUGUGUGGGUGGGCUUUUUAUAUAUUUUCAUUUUCAUUUGAUUUGUAGAUUUUGUUAUGAGGUGAAAAAAAUAGAAAUGGAAAAAGAAAUGAAAAUAAUUAAAAUUAAUUUUUUUUUUGUUUUUGUUUUUUUUUUUUUCUUUUACUUUUUGUAAAUUUUUUAUUUUUUUCAUUUUUCAUUUCAAUGCAUACAAAUUACUUAUGAUAUUAAAAACAGAAGAAUUAAAAUCAAGAAUUAUAACAUGUUAAGAAAUAUUUAUUAUUUUUUUUUGUGUUUCUUUUCUAGAUUUUUUUUUUUUAUGUUUUUAAUUGUGAGUAAAGAGUAUAUUUGAUAGGACCCGAAGGGCUUUGAACUAUACAUGUAAUAAAAUUAUGUGAGAACAUGAGAGUCUUUUUAUGGUUAAAAAAGUGUUAUUCUUAAAUAAAUAUGUAUCAUUAAUUUUUAGUGAAUUUGUAUAUAUUUAAGGAUCCCUUUUUUUUUUCCAUUAUUACAUUGUAGGAAAUAUAAAAAAUGAAAAGUCUUAAUUAGCUGGUUAUUUUCGAAAGAUCUCUCGAGAUCGCUGGAGUUGAUUUUGAUAUAUUUUUAUCGUAUCAAAUAAAUUAAAAUAUAUAUAUAUAUAUAUAUAUAUAUAUAUAUAUAUAUAUACACAAUGUUGAUAUAAAAGAUCUAAUUGUGAAUUUGUAAAUUUAUAUUUUAAUUUGUUUUGAUAUUUUGGUAAAAAGUGUAAAUAAGAUAAAUAUAUAUAAGUAGUAUAUUAUAUUAUUUUAUUUAUAUAAAAAUAAGAUAACUCCAAGUGUACCAUUUUUUGUUAAAAAAAAAAUUGGUAAUGAGGGAUGCUCCUAAUGCUUGGAUAAGGUGCCUAAGUAUUCGCUCAUGAGAUUCUGUUUAAAAAAAAAAGGUGUUGGUUCAUGAUAACAGUAGGACGAUAUUCAUGGAAGUUGAAAUUCGCUAAGGAGUGUGUAAUAACUCACCUUCCGAGUGAACUUGCCCUUAUAAUGGAUGGCGCUAAAGUGAAUUACCGAAAUCAAGCCAUAAAAAGAUAAAGAGAAAUAAUAAAAAAAAAAAAUAUAUUAAAAAAAAAAUUAAAAAAUUAUAAUCAACUGGGGAAAAGGUGUAAAGAAGAAAUUUUUUUUUUUUUUUUUUUAUUCCUUUUUUCUUUUUGUUUGUUUGUUUUUUUUUUUUUUUUUUAUUUAUUUUAUUUUUUUUUUUUUUAUUUUUCUUGUUUUUGAACUUUUUAUGUGUAGAAAAUCGUGGGGUUUGUGUUGAAGCGAAAUACGUGAGUUUUCGUGGAACAUCUCCCUAGUGCAGAUCUUGGUGGAAGUAGCAAAUAUUACAAAUGAAAACUUUGAAUGACUAAAGUGGAGAUGGGUUUCUUGUAUAUCGAUUUAUUAAUUUAAAUUUACAAGAGUUAGUCGCUUGCUUAUGAGUUUGCUACUUUUGUUUUUUUUCUGAAUGGAAGUCUUUUUAUUUUUUUUUGAAGAGAUCAUGAAAAGAAAAGUUUAGCAUACGUGACAAGGGGGUAUGUUUUUUGAUCGAACUUGUAUCACCCGCUUCUCUAAUUAUACUAAGAGAUGGCAUACAUUUAAUCUCUAUCACCUAUAAAAUUUCCUCUACUCAAAUAAAAGUAAACAGGUUAAUAUUCCUGUACGUUCAUAAAGAUUUAAGUAAGAUAGGUAAUGGUAACAUUUGAAUGCUGAACUCCUAUAUAUAGUAGCUACGUUCGGAGUGCGUUUUUUUGAAUUAUAUUCCUUUAUAAUUAUUGCACAUGAAAAAUAUAUAGCUAGGCCUAUGUCUUAAAUGCAAGAGUCGUAUACUUAGGGUGGCUUAGCACAGCGGUCGGCAUAUGAGAAUUGGCAAAUAUAGAAGGUUGAAUUUAUUCAUAUAUAAUUUAUUAGAUCAUAGAUUUUAUUUUUAUAAUAAUUUCUUGUUCUGUAUUUUAUAUAUGAAAUUCAUUCUUUUUGUUUGUAUCAAUAGUAAUUCUAUUAAAAUUUAGGGAAUUACCCGAAACUGUAUUACUAUCACUGAAUGUAGGAGGGAUAUAUCUUAUAAGUUUUAGAGAUGUAAUUUAUAUUAUAUUCUUUAAUUCCUUAUUUGACCGUUCUUAAUUUUUAUAACAGCGUACCUAUAAUAGCCGCUUAAGGUCUCCUAGGUUAAGAGCCUCUAGUUUAUAUAGAUUACAUAAUAGCAAAGGAAGUCGUUCCACAAGCACUCAGAUAAUAUAUAUAUAUAUAUGUAUAUAUAUAUAUAUAUAUAUAUAUAUAUAUAUGUAUAAUAUUUGUUUGUUCGGAAUUUAGGGAAAUAAAUUUAUAUUGAGUUAUAUUAUAGGAGUAAAAGUAAAUUAUAGAGAAGAGGCGAAAAAUUAAAGAAAGAACGAUAUUAGAGUGAUUCUUCGGCAUAUUAUGUAAAAUUAUAUAGGUGUGCAUAUGUAUAAACUAGACGAAAGAUAGUUUCUGCGUGUAUGUAUAUAUAUAUAUGUAUACGUAUGAGACGUUUAGUAGGAGUGUAAAAGUUAUUAUGUGUGCAUGCCUGUAUUCUGCUUUAUACGUAUGUUUAAAGGCUUUCUCUUUUUUUUAUGUAUUUCUUUAAUUUUUAUUUCCCCCCUCUUUUCAAUUUUCAAUAUGUAUGUAUAUAUAUAUAUUUAUAUAUAUAUAUAUAUAUAUAUAUGUAUUGUUAAUAUAUACAUACUGUUUACUUAAUAUAAACUCAGUAUAGUAUACCGAUAAUGUUUGAGGGUUAAAUGGUUUCUAGUCACUGUGAAUGAAAUAAAAGAUCAUAUAAUAUUUAUAUUAUAUUGGCCUUAUUCUAUGUAUGCAAAUAUAUAUAUGUAUAUAUAAGUAUGUUCUAUACGUAUAUAUAUGUAUAUAUAUCCUUGUUAUAUUAUAGCACGGUGAUACGUCCUUCCGCGUUCCUAGUAAGUCGGGUGUUGAAGUGCUUCGAUUGCGUACAAUGGGAGGGGUGGUUGCAAUGACGGUUUAUUAUUAUAUAAUUUUUAUAUUUUAAUAUUCCUAGUUGCAGCGACAAUUUUACCUUUGUCACGUAACACUGAGAAGGUUGGUUUUUUUUUUUUAUGCAUAUCCUAUAGGAAUUGUAAAACCCUCACGACAUAUACCUUACUAUUUUAUCUAGCGAAACCACAACCAAGGGAACAGGCUUGGUAAAAUCAGUAGAGAAAGUAAGCUAUUAUUUCUGUUGAAGAAUUUAUUAUUUACCCAAAUUUGUAACUUUUGUAAAACUACUUAAGAGGUGUAGAUAUAAGUGGGAGUAAUUAAAAAAAAUAUAUAAAAAGAAAAAAGAAGAGGGGGAAAAAGGAAGAAGAAGAACAGAGAAAAAGGAAAAUAAAAAAGGGUGGGGAGAGAUGGGGAAAGGGAAAAUAAAGAAUGAAAAUAAAAUUAGUAUUUAUAUAUUUUUUUUGUUUUUGUUUUUUGUUUUUUCUUUUUCUUUUUCUUUCUUUCUUUUUUUUUUUUUCUUUUUUUUUGUUUUUCUUGUUCUGAUUUUUUUUUCUUCUUUUUUGUUUCUAUAUAUUUUUUUUGAUUUACACAAUUGAAAUACCACUACUUUUAUGUUACUUUUACUUAUCCAUUGUUAGGAAAAUGUAUAAAUAUACAUGUCAUUCUUAAUGUGCUUCGUAAGAAAUAUUAACAUAUAUUUUAUAUAUGUGUUAUUUUUUUUUAUGAAGGGCCUUUUGAAUGUUGAAUAUUGAGAUAAAUUUGUUUUAUUAUGUAUAUAUAUAUAUGUAUAUAUGUAUAUAUGUAUAUGUAUAUAUAUAUAAAACACUUUGAUCGCACAUGUUCCUAUUUAUAAUAUAUACAAAUAUUUAUAUAUAUGUAUGUUGUUCAUAUAUUCGUAUGUGUUACAACUACAUAUUAUAUUUAUAUAUGCAUAUUUAUGGAGACAGAGUUUUACAGUUUGUGGAGUUUAUUGGAUUAGUUUUUAAAUAUUAAGAAGAAUUGAAUUUUAUUAUUUAUUUUUUUUUUUUAUUUUUAAAUUAAUCCUUAUAAUUUAUAAUUAUAGUUUUUUUUUUUUUUUUUUUUUUUUUAUUAUUAUUAUGUUUAUAAAUGUAUAUGUGUAAUUAGAGGAAGAAUUAAAUAGAAAUAUUCGGAUAGUUGCAAAAUAUAUUUAUGAUAUAUAUAUAUAAUAUAAAAAGGAAAAAGAAAAAAAAUAUAUAAAUAUAUAAAAAUAAAUGUUUUGGAUAAUAAGAACAGUGAAUAAUAGUUAUAUACUUGUGGCUGCCGAGCGAUAUUUUUAGCGACGUAGCUUAUUGAUUUGAAAAUUUUGGUUCUUCCUAUCAUUGAGAAGAAGAAAUCUCAAAGUGUCGGAUUGUUCAACCGUUAAAAGGGAACGAGAGCUGUAUAGAAAAAAAAAUUUUUUUUUUUUUUUUAGUAACCUUCAUGAGAUAGGUUCGUUUUUUACUCUACUGAAGAAUAUUAUUUAUUUAAUAUAUUAUAUUGUUCCAGUAAUCGAACUAAGUACGAAAGGAAUAGUUUGGUCAGAUAGUUAAUUUAGCUAUCGGUCGAAAAGCCAACAUAGCAAAGAUUUUAGGUCUGUUGUGAUAAUAGCUGAACGCCUCUUAAGCUAGAAUCCAUUCUGUAUAUACAAUAUAUGAAUAGUUUUCUUUGUCUUGUAAUUUUUUUUUUUACUGUUAAUGUAAAAAGAGAACUUAUAUUAUAUUACAAAGCAUUUUUUAUUAUAAAUGCCUUUAUAAAUAUAAAUAAUCCACUUAAAAUUUAAAUACCGUAUAUUAUAUGUAUAUAUAUGUACGUAUUUAAAAUAUUUAUUAUUUAGCAACAAAGAAUGUAAGAAUAAUCUGUAGACGACUUUUUUGCCUCGGAGUGCUGUAAUCACAAAAGUAAACUGGUUUCGCUUUUUGAUGAGGCUUAUC
rnacentral:rRNA from 1 species